rnacentral:tRNA from 1 species
CAUUAAGAAACUUUAAAGAAGUAAAAGUCUCUUAAACUUUAAAUGGUUAUUAAAAAUUAACCCUUAAUGA